AUGAAGGACUAUAUCAAAAUCAGGCGAAUUGGAGAUGGCACUUUCACUGUUGUCCGCAAGGGUGGACACAAAACUACAAGCCAUGUAGUGACAAUGGAGAAGACAGAAAUUGAAGCAGAGAGUGAAGGAGGGGGUCCUAGAAGUGCAAUUCAGGAAAUUUUUCCACCGAAAGAAUUUCCUUACUCAAAUGCAGCCACUUGUCAAGAUGCGCUUUGGAAGGAUUCCAGGUUACAGCUCAUUUUCAAAUUCCCUUCCACAGAUCUCAAGAAGUACAUGGAACCUGUCCCUCCUGACUAGCCUCUGGCUCCCCCUGAUGCCACGCUACUUACACCAGAUCCAUCAGGGGGCUGUGUUUGUCAUUCCCUGGAGUUCUCCACAGACACUUAAGACUUCUGAAGUCUACUGAUGGAUGACAAAGAUACAAUCAAACUGUGCAAUUUUGCCCUUGCCAGAGCUCUGGAAAUGGUAAUGAGAGUGGACAUACACCAGGUAGUAUUAAACAAGGCAGUGACUUACACCAGGCAGUGACAUUGUUCCCUCUCCAAAAGCUGUGCACAGAUCAGCUCACCACUCCACCCCCAGUUGACAUUUGGGGUGUAGGCACUAUCUUUGCAGAACUCACAACCAAGAAAUUCCUUUUCAUGGGGAUUCAGAAACGGAUCCUUCAAACUCUGGGUACCACUAACAGAAGAGUCUGGCUGGAGCUGGAGUCUCUGCAGGACUGCAAGAAGACGUUUCCCAAAUGGAAGCUACAGAGCAUCGCUUCCAAGAAUGAAGAACCCAGGUAGAAGGGUUUAGGUUUUUUUCUAGAAAACAGUGUAUAAUCCUACUGGACAAAUUUCUGGCAUAAUAACCCUGAAAUGUUCAUACAUGAUGACUUAGAAGGUUGGAUUAAGAUAUAG
rnacentral:lncRNA from 1 species